CGUCAGUCGAGAUUUGUUCUCUCCGAAGUCGGUUCCAGAUUUUAACAGCAGUCGAGGCGUUUAAUAUACCCAUUUUAUCUAUGUAGUCGCAAUCGGGAAUAUCUGCCCUUGAUUUUACGGGAUUAGCAGAAAAAUAUAAGUGUAUUCUUUUUCUGAUCCCGGAAAAAAAACGGCGGGUAUUCCCGAUUGCAAAUACAGUUAUGGUGGUUAUAUAGUGCAGUUCUGCAUUUGUAUUCUCAUUAAAAGCUUACUAAAGUGACCGAAAGAUACAUAAAAUCUCAGAGACCUUAUCUAGACAAGGUAUAUACGAGGGUCUGAUUCACUUGGGAACUCAGUAAUUCAGAACAAACUGAUUGGAUGUGCUGCCAUUUGGAGUUUGGUGCUAUCAACAAAAAACAAAUUCUAUGACGAAUCCCUCAAAUGGAACAUUUAUACUGUCGCUCGGUGAACUCGGUGGGAACUCUGUGACUUAGAACAAACUGAUUGGAUGUGCUGCUAUUCGGCUUUUAGUGUUAUCAACAAAAACAAAUUCUAUGACGAAUCCCUCAAAUGGAGCAUUUAAACUGUCGCAAAUAAAAUGUGUAAUUUUGCUCAGUGCAUUGGGUUCUUAGUGUGUGUGCACAUCUAAUGUCCAAUUUCAAUUUGGACUGGCUGGCUGACAGAGCUUGUCGCCGACCACCGCAAAUGGCAAACAAUGUGUAGAAGGUGCCCUCCACCCAAAAACUCCCCAUUUCACAUAUCUACAGGGUAGAAUAGAGGGAGAUGGCAAGGGAGACGGGGUCAGAGUUUACAAAAAGGAAACGUGCGCCGUGCGCUAUGCUGCACUUCUUAGCGAUGUACCGUUAUGCUCGUGCUCACCGCGCUAGGUGGUGACUGUACCUCGCCUUUGACAAAGCCAUUUUAAGGAUUUUUAAGCCAACAAAGCUAAAAAGUUACUUUAAAGGAAAGUGAGGUCAAGCGGAAGUGGAAAAUAAUAUUCGAAAAUGGUGUAUCCUACAAUGGUACAGAUUUUAUAACAUUAGAAAGGCAUAUUGUUGACAUAACUUUGUGUAAAGUAUAAUAUUAAAUUGUUUAUAAGAACUAAUUUAACUUAA